rnacentral:tRNA from 1 species
AAAAUCCUCAAGUCCCUCUAUCCCCA